CCUAACUGGUGGAUGGUGCUGAUGUCCCACAGUGUCCAGGGGUCCCUUGGCCAAGAGAUGGGGAAGCUUAGCAGCCCAGCUGUGUGUCUCAGAGAUGGUGACCUAAAGGUCUGGAGAACCAGAGAGAGCUCAGAAACUUCCCACUGAGACUUUCGGCAACGCUUGAAAGGAGCACCUACGAGAACUAAGGGUUCAUUACUCAGAAAUUCAAGAAAAAUUGGGAUUCCUCUUCUUUUAGGCAAAGGUUGGCUGUGGUUGAACUGAGGAGAUACAACUCAAGUGGAGUCACUUAUGUCAAGGACAAAAUGGAGACGAGAGAUGACUUAGUGGUCACAAGGAUUUAUGAGCUUGUUUGCAGAAGAAAAAGGAUGCCUUUAAGGAAGUUAUGACCACCAGAUAACCCAACCUCAACUGUGGCUGGCGCCAAAGAAGUCUAGUUGCUCAAGGUCUUAUCUGAAGUGAAAGAAACACGGACUUACCCUUUGUUUCCACAAAACCCCACCUCCCAAGUCCCUUAGCCCUAUAAAGAUCCUCUCUUUCUUCCUUUGUUAACUUGGAUCUGAGAGAACAUCCUCUCCUGGCUUCUUGUUUUGGCCAAUUCAAAUAAACAUUUCUUUAUCUCCAAGCAUUGGAGUCUCAGUGAUUGCCUUA
ensembl:lncRNA